GGGCGACUGCUGGCCUCGAGACGCCCGCCGUGCUCCCGGCUUCACGGCCCGAUCUCGCUUCACACGCGAGAGGUCGCUGGUUCGAAACCAGCCGCGCCCA
rnacentral:tRNA from 1 species